AAAUAUUCCCACUCUUUUUACUUUUUUUUUCACUCACAAAAAAAUACUCUCAUUCCACUUACUUUUAUUUUCCACUCACACUCCACUUACUUUAAUUUUCCACUCACAAUAAUAUUCCCACCACUUACUCUCAUUCCACUUACUUUUACUUUCCACUUACACUCCACUUACUUUUAUUUUCCACUCACACUCCACUUACUUUUAUUUUCCACUCACAAUAAUAUUCCCAUCACUUACUCCCAUUCCACUUUUACUUUCCACUCACACUCCACUUACUUUUAUUUUCCACUCACAAUAAUAUUCUCACCAUUUACUUACUCCCAUUCCACUU
rnacentral:lncRNA from 1 species